rnacentral:rRNA from 1 species
AGUGAGUGGCGAACGGGUGAGUAACACGUGAGUAACCUGCCCUCUUCUUUGGAUAACGCCCGGAAACGGGUGCUAAUACUGGAUAUUCACUGAUCUUCGCAUGGGGGUUGGUGGAAAGGUUUUUUCUGGCGGGGGAUGGGCUCGCGGCCUAUCAGCUUGUUGGUGGGGUGAUGGCCUACCAAGGCUUUGACGGGUAGCCGGCCUGAGAGGGUGACCGGUCACAUUGGGACUGAGAUACGGCCCAG